UACGUAGGGGGCAAGCGUUAUCCGGAUUUACUGGGUGUAAAGGGAGCGUAGACGGCAUGGCAAGUCAGAUGUGAAAGCCCGGGGCUCAACCCCGGGACUGCAUUUGAAACUGUCAGGCUGGAGUGCAGGAGAGGUAAGCGGAAUUCCUAGUGUAGCGGUGAAAUGCGUAGAUAUUAGGAGGAACACCAGUGGCGAAGGCGGCUUACUGGACUGUAACUGACGUUGAGGCUCGAAAGCGUGGGGAGCAAACAGG
rnacentral:rRNA from 1 species